CCUACGGGAGGCAGCAGUGAGGAAUAUUGGUCAAUGGGCGGGAGCCUGAACCAGCCAAGUCGCGUGAGGGAAGACGGUCCUAUGGAUUGUAAACCUCUUUAGGCGGGGAGCAAUGCCGGGCACGCGUGCCAGGAGGGAGAGUACCCGCAGAAUAAGCAUCGGCUAAAUCCGUGCCAGCAGCCGCGGUAAUGCGGAGGAUGCGAGCGUUAUACGGAUUUAUGGGGUUUAAAGGGUGCGUAGGCGGAUUUUUAAGUCAGCGGUAAAAUGUCCGGGCUCAACCCGGGCCGGCCGUUGAAACUGGGGAUCUUGAGUGGGCGAGCAGUAUGCGGAAUGCGUGGUGUAGCGGUGAAAUGCAUAGAUAUCACGCAGAACUCCGAUUGCGAAGGCAGCAUACCGGCGCCCGACUGACGUUGAGGCACGAAAGCGUGGGGAUCGAACAGGAUUAGAUACCCCAGUAGUC
rnacentral:rRNA from 1 species